ACCCCUAAGGCGAGGCCGAAAGGCGUAGUCGAUGGGAAACGGGUUAAUAUUCCCGUACUUGGUGUUACUGCGAAGGGGGGACGGAGAAGGCUAUGUUGGCCGGGCGACGGUUGUCCCGGUUUAAGCGUGUAGGUGUGUGUUCCAGGUAAAUCCGGUUCACUUUAACACUGAGGCGUGAUGACGAGGCACUACGGUGCUGAAGCAACAAAUGCCCUGCUUCCAGGAAAAGCCUCUAAGCAUCAGGUAACAUCAAAUCGUACCCCAAACCGACACAGGUGGUCAGGUAGAGAAUACCAAGGCGCUUGAGAGAACUCGGGUGAAGGAACUAGGCAAAAUGGUGCCGUAACUUCGGGAGAAGGCACGCUGACACGUAGGUGAAGUGAUUUACUCACGGAGCUGAAGUCAGUCGAAGAUACCAGCUGGCUGCAACUGUUUAUUAAAAACACAGCACUGUGCAAACACGAAAGUGGACGUAUACGGUGUGACGCCUGCCCGGUGCCGGAAGGUUAAUUGAUGGGGUCAGCGCAAGCGAAGCUCCUGAUCGAAGCCCCGGUAAACGGCGGCCGUAACUAUAACGGUCCUAAGGUAGCGAAAUUCCUUGUCGGGUAAGUUCCGACCUGCACGAAUGGCGUAAUGAUGGCCAGGCUGUCUCCACCCGAGACUCAGUGAAAUUGAACUCGCUGUGAAGAUGCAGUGUACCCGCGGCAAGACGGAAAGACCCCGUGAACCUUUACUAUAGCUUGACACUGAACAUUGAGCCUUGAUGUGUAGGAUAGGUGGGAGGCUUUGAAGUGUGGACGCCAGUCUGCAUGGAGCCGACCUUGAAAUACCACCCUUUAAUGUUUGAUGUUCUAACGUGGACCCGUAAUCCGGGUUGCGGACAGUGUCUGGUGGGUAGUUUGACUGGGGCGGUCUCCUCCUAAAGAGUAACGGAGGAGCACGAAGGUUGGCUAAUCCUGGUCGGACAUCAGGAGGUUAGUGCAAUGGCAUAAGCCAGCUUGACUGCGAGCGUGACGGCGCGAGCAGGUGCGAAAGCAGGUCAUAGUGAUCCGGUGGUUCUGAAUGGAAGGGCCAUCGCUCAACGGAUAAAAGGUACUCCGGGGAUAACAGGCUGAUACCGCCCAAGAGUUCAUAUCGACGGCGGUGUUUGGCACCUCGAUGUCGGCUCAUCACAUCCUGGGGCUGAAGUAGGUCCCAAGGGUAUGGCUGUUCGCCAUUUAAAGUGGUACGCGAGCUGGGUUUAGAACGUCGUGAGACAGUUCGGUCCCUAUCUGCCGUGGGCGCUGGAGAACUGAGGGGGGCUGCUCCUAGUACGAGAGGACCGGAGUGGACGCAUCACUGGUGUUCGGGUUGUCAUGCCAAUGGCACUGCCCGGUAGCUAAAUGCGGAAGAGAUAAGUGCUGAAAGCAUCUAAGCACGAAACUUGCCCCGAGAUGAGUUCUCCCUGAGACUUAGAGUCUCCUGAAGGAACGUUGAAGACGACGACGUUGAUAGGCCGGGUGUGUAAGCGCAGCGAUGCGUUGAGCUAACCGGUACUAAUGAACCGUGAGGCUUAACCUUACAACGCCGAAG
rnacentral:rRNA from 1 species